rnacentral:telomerase_RNA from 1 species
AGGCCCAAUUGUGCUUGCCAACCAUUGGUAAUUUUCGCCAGAGGGCUCCAGUGCGAUGAAUUUCGCCUCUCCUAACCCUAGGUUUUCCUUUAAAAACCUGCGGAUAUUUUGCAGUUUUCUUGCCAGUUUUCUGGGAAAUGCAGGUUUUUCUUCUCGUGUUCGUUAAGCGCAAAAAGCUGGCUAGGCUUCUGGUGGGAGAUACCUCGAAUUCGCUGUACACUUAUUUGGCGUUACUGUUGCAAGGUGUCGGUCCCACGCGUUUAUUCUCGUGUGGGACUGAGCCUCGUACAGAAAUGCCACACCAACUCGCGGCUUUCGAUUCUGCUGUUGUCUUGAGCCUUCAUAAUGCAUUACUCUCAAUCGCAAAUGUAUGGCCGCAGGCGCCUGCAUUAUAUGUUGCACGUUGAGUAGCAGAUGCUAUGUCGGGCCAUGAUUAGACAAUGCCAAUGUGAAAUGAAUCGCCGUGUGUUGGUAGCUGCUACAAGAUCAAAUUUGGAUACCGGUUGUCAACCUUUUGUUCGAGACCAUGACAUAAAGGAAACCGGUUGCCAUACAUCU